rnacentral:misc_RNA from 1 species
GAUGAAGAACGUAGCGAAAUGCGAUAAGUAAUGUGAAUUGCAGAAUUCAGUGAAUCAUCGAAUCUUUGAACGCACCUUGCACCCUUUGGCAUUCCGAAGGGUAUGCUCGUUUGAGUGUCAUUGUACUCUCACUCUCCCGAUGCUUUUGGAUCGGGAGUGGUGGACUUGGGUGUUGCUGCUUUGCUGUGGCUCGCCUCAAAUGGAGUAGUGCAACUCUUGGUUGGACAUAGUACGGCGUGAUAAGUGUCUUCGCCGGCGCCUCAUUAUAGAGGGUGGCCGAUCGGGAGCUCUGUGCUUCAAACCGUCUUCGGACAACAUCUGACAAAUUGACCUCAAAUCGAGUAGGACUACCCGCUGAACUUAAGCAUAUCAAUAAGCGGAGGA